UGUGGUAUGGGCAUUCCACAGGGAUGAGGAGGAAGGAGUAGAAAACAUGGAAACAAAGUACAAUGUGAGAAACAAUCUAUAAAAAGUGAGAGGUAAAUAGAAUGACAUCAGCAAGAUGGUGGAAUAGGAACUCUCUGGCUCCACCGUUUUCUACAGAAAUCCAAUUUGCAACUAUUCAGAGACAAGAAUACCUUGAUGAAUAUCCCAGAACAUGGGAGUGAGGCUGAAACAACCCCUUGGACCACAGACAAAGAACAGCUACAAUUGAAGUAACCUAUGAUUGAAGGACAUUCAGAAGAAUGGUCCUGAUCACCAUCUUAUGACAAUGAAUAACAUUAGCCUUGCAAUGAAGCCAAUAUUCCAAAAGGCAAAGAAAAGAGACAGAAAACCUCAGGAUCUCUGGCAGCAUUAAGUCCUGCUCCUGCCUCAUCUAAAGCUCUAGUCCAGGAGAAGGAUUUGUUAAAAUCAG
rnacentral:lncRNA from 1 species